rnacentral:rRNA from 1 species
GACGAACGCUGGCGGCGUGCCUAAUACAUGCAAGUCGAACGCAUUUUCUUUCACCGUAGCUUGCUACACCGAAAGAAAAUGAGUGGCGAACGGGUGAGUAACACGUGGGUAACCUGCCCAUCAGCGGGGGAUAACACUUGGAAACAGGUGCUAAUACCGCAUAAUUCCAUUUACCGCAUGGUAAAUGGAUGAAAGGCGCUUUUGCGUCACUGAUGGAUGGACCCGCGGUGCAUUAGCUAGUUGGUGGGGUAACGGCCUACCAAGGCUGCGAUGCAUAGCCGACCUGAGAGGGUGAUCGGCCACACUGGGACUGAGACACGGCCCAGACUCCUACGGGAGGCAGCAGUAGGGAAUCUUCGGCAAUGGACGCAAGUCUGACCGAGCAACGCCGCGUGAGUGAAGAAGGUUUUCGGAUCAUAAAACUCUGUUGUUAGAGAAGAACAAGGAUGAGAGUGGAAAGUUCAUCCCUUGACGGUAUCUAACCAGAAAGCCACGGCUAACUACGUG